AACGCGAAGAACCUUACCUGGGCUUGACAUGUGGGUGACCGGUGUGGAAACACACCUUCCCUUCGGGGCACCUUCACAGGUGGUGCAUGGCUGUCGUCAGCUCGUGUCGUGAGAUGUUGGGUUAAGUCCCGCAACGAGCGCAACCCCCGUCGCAUGUUGCCAGCAUUCAGUUGGGGACUCAUGCGAGACUGCCGGUGACAAACCGGAGGAAGGUGGGGAUGACGUCAAGUCCUCAUGCCCCUUAUGUUCAGGGCUACACACGUGCUACAUUGGCGCAUACAGAGGGCUGCGAUACCGCGAGGUGGAGCGAAUCCCUUAAAGUGCGUCUCGGUUCGGAUUGCAGGCUGAAAUUCGCCUGCAUGAAGGCGGAGUUGCUAGUAAUCGCGGAUCAGCACUGCCGCGGUGAAUACGUUCCCGGGCCUUGUA
rnacentral:rRNA from 1 species